rnacentral:lncRNA from 1 species
UAGCUAUUCAAGCAGAGAUUACCCAAGUUCUCGUGACACAAGAGAUUAUGCACCACCUCCAAGAGAUUAUACUUACCGUGAUUAUGGUCAUUCCAGUUCACGUGAUGACUAUCCAUCAAGAGGCUAUAGGUAAGUGAGUGCUUCCAUGGCUCAAGUAUAAUAUUUUAUUGUAAAAGUUGGUGCUCUGGGACUCAAAGGUUUUUCUCUUUAAUUUAGUGAUAGAGAUGGAUAUGGUCGUGAUCGUGAUUAUUCAGAUCAUCCAAGUGGAGGUUCCUACAGAGAUUCAUAUGAGAGUUAUGGUAAGAUACUGUUAAGAGUCUUGAGUUUCAGCAGCUUGAGUUUUUAGGUUCAUGAGCCAGUUUAAUAGGCUGCGUGGUGCUUGCUUUUAAAGGGACGUUUGCUUGCUUUUUUAAAGGGUUAACUAUCAGCUGGGCUUUUCCUAGUUUUGUGAGGGGCUUUUGUUCUUUCCUAAGUUUUUUUUUUUCUUUUGAGGCUGUUCGCUUGCUUUGGAGGGGAUUUUGCUUGCUUAAAUUGGCAGCCUUAUGUGUUUUCCCCCAACAGUGAAAAUACAAUUUAAAAAUUUUAUUAACAAGAUCAAAUGUUUACCAUUGCAAUAUGAAGGAAACUCUACAGUUCAAAAUUGCAACUUAUCACUGGAAAGUGGCUGAGUGUCUACUAUAAAAUAACAAGCUGGAAUAUCCUCUUGAAAUACACACCGUCUUCAGUCUUUUCAAACAAACAUUAAAAUCAAUCCAUUUCCAUAUCUCAGCAGAUGAGCAAAUCCUUGUUAUGGCCAGCAAUGGUAGAGUUUAAAACCUCCCAGUUGAGAAAGUAAACUUUUAAUACAAGAAUUCUGUAAAUUCAGAUUUAAAUGUUGUAUAUAUACAAUUUAUAGUGUUGCCAUAUUACCUGACCAUUGACCCUGCAGGUAACUCACGUAGUGCUCCACCUACACGAGGGCCCCCGCCAUCUUAUGGUGGAAGCAGUCGCUAUGAUGAUUACAGCAGCUCACGUGACGGAUAUGGUGGAAGUCGAGACAGUUACUCAAGCAGCCGAAGUGAUCUCUACUCAAGUGGUCGUGAUCGGGUUGGCAGACAAGAACGAGGGCUUCCCCCUUCUAUGGAAAGGGGGUACCCUCCUCCACGUGAUUCCUACAGCAGUUCAAGCCGCGGAGCACCAAGAGGUGGUGGCCGUGGAGGAAGCCGAUCUGAUAGAGGGGGAGGCAGAAGCAGAUACUAGAAACAAACAAAACUUUGGACCAAAAUUCCCCGUUCAAAGAAACAAACAAAAAGUGGAAACCAUUCUGUCAUAACUACCCAAGGACUACUAAAAGGAAAAAUUGUGUUACCUUUUUUAAAUUUCCUGUUAAGUUCCCCUUCAUAAUUUUUUAUGUUCUUGUGAGGGAAAAAAAGUAAAACAUGUUUAAUUUCAUUUGAUUUUGAGUUGCUUUCAACAAGCAAAUGUUAAGUGUGUAAGACUUGUUGUACUAGUGUUGUAAUUUUCCAAGUUAAAGUGUCCCUGAAGGCCACUUCCUAUCCAGUUUUACCCAGUAAAUGAGGCAAGCAAUUCUAAGAUCUUCCACAAACAUCUAGCCAUCUAGAUGUCCAUUGAUCUCCACUGAGAGAUGAAUCGUUCUGCCUAUACAAAAAAGCUAGCUAAUAGGGGGUGGUUGGGGUAUGCUACUCUUAGGAUUUCAGGGUGUCUUCCAACUGAAAUCUCAAUGUUCUCAGUAUACAAAACCUGAGAUCAGAUAUCUAUGUAAGGAAAGUACUAUUCACCCAGUAAAUCCCCCUUCCCCCCAAAAAAAACCAAAUGGAUAAUGCUGGCCAUAUUUUGCCUUUCUGACAUUUCCUUGGGAAUCCGCAAGAACCUCCCUUUCCCCCUCCCCCAAUAAGACCAUUUAAGUGUGUGUUAAACAACUACAGAAUACUAAAUAAAAAGUUUGGCCAAAACCAACCAUGAAGCUGCAAACGAUGCUUGCUCUUACUGUUUCAAAUUUUUGCAACUCUGUAGUGUCUCACUUUUAAAGGAACAGCUUGAUUGCAAAGGAGAAAAUAGAUAAGCAAUGAAGUUAUCUCCAACUUCCUAAAGGCUUAUGACUUCUAAAAAGUGAAUCUAUCAGCAUUCCACAUCAGAUUUAAAGCACCAAAUGCCUGUGAAACAGCAAAGAUGGUAAGCAAAGCAAACUAGUUUUUCCGUCUAAGUCGAAAUUGAACACUUACCUUCCUCAUAGUACAGUGAAACAUACUGUACCUCAUGGCAAUGGAAAUGUGCCUUCUAGAUUAAAAAAAAAAACCUUUUGGAAAAGCAAAUGUUCAAUAGCAUAUUAGAAGUCCUCCAAAUUCAACACUUGGAUUUUUUUUUUUAAAGCAUGUGUGACACUUAAAGGCCUUAAUACAGCUGUUUACCAGUACCAAUCUGGGGCUUGGGAGGGGGUAUUUUUUAAAGUAUUUUUGAUGAAGACCUUUAAACAUGCUUCAUAUGUUUUUAACAUUUUUUUUUUUCAAAUUAGUCUUAGUCAAUAUAAGAAAUGGCUUAGGUUUGGGGUCCCCUCUCUUACCCCUGUAAGCCAUUGCAAACUUGACCUUUAGUUGGAUGCCUGACUUGUUUUUAGUUCUAUGAAACUACACUGUAUGGAGAAAAUCUAUUGCAAGUGGUCUUUAAAAAGCAAAACCUGAGGCAGCAUGACCCAGGUCCAGCCAUGAAGUUGAAAAAGAUGCUCUUGAAUAUAGUAAACUUGAAGACCUCCAACUAAAAAUCCUUAUACGCACUUAUUCCUUCAAAUAAAUGUUUUGUCCGUUCAACUUAUGGAUUUAACGUGGCAGUGCACCAUUGGAACAGAAUGAGAAUCCAUAAGCCAUGCAACUUAACCAUUUAAGCCAUUCCAGUCCAUCCCAAGCCAGUGAAUCUUCCACUACUUAAGAGAACUAGUAGAACAUGAAAUACAUUAAUCUGGAAGUCUGAACUUGCCUUUCUGGAAAGAGGGCAGUUAUAGGCAAGUUUUAAAGUUUCCUUAAGAGAGAUAACUAGUUUUCAUCUGUUUAAUUUUUGCAGGUUGAGGACUUAUGGUCAUUGUGGUCAUGGAGUGCUGAUUUAUUCACAAUAGAUAAAGCUGGCAGCAGGAGAAAUCAAAUGCUAAGGUAAGUUUUGAAAGCACUGGCCUUU